GGAGCAGGCAUUCACGGUGUGUUGAGCGGAAGGACCGGGAGCAGCAUCUGCGAACAGGUUGCAUCUAAACGGGAGCUUUGGGAAUAAAACGAAGGCCUAGGAUUAACUCCAUCAGAGGAGCUGUCAGUCCGACCAAUUCCCACCAGGAGAAAGCGGAGAAGUUACAACCAACAUGGACGGCGCUGUCAGAAGCUGAAGAUGGGAUGGACAGACUGUGGCCAUGAUAAGACUCAGCCGUGCUUCUUUCCAGUCUCUGCUCUGACGUGAGACCCAGGGAGUCCUUUAACUAGAAUUGAUGUCAUCUUUGUCGAGGGGGCAGCCUAAAGCUGCGCCUCCGAGU
rnacentral:lncRNA from 1 species